rnacentral:rRNA from 1 species
AUUGAACGCUGGCGGCAUGCCUUACACAUGCAAGUCGAACGGUAACAGGGAGCUUGCUCCGCUGACGAGUGGCGAACGGGUGAGUAAUAUAUCGGAACGUACCUUUGAGUGGGGGAUAACUAGUCGAAAGAUUAGCUAAUACCGCAUACGAUCUACGGAUGAAAGUGGGGGAUCGCAAGACCUCAUGCUCAUAGAGCGGCCGAUAUCUGAUUAGCUAGUUGGUGAGGUAAAGGCUCACCAAGGCUUCGAUCAGUAGCUGGUCUGAGAGGA